rnacentral:lncRNA from 10 species
ACUCUUCAACCUGCUUCCAUCACAACUUCUGACUGCGGUCACAACCCACAGAACCGCACCUCCAUGAAAUAUUGGGGGGAGGCAGUACAUCCACGAUGGUCUCAGUGUGAGGGGAGGGGGUUUGUAGGGAGGGGCAGAGGUUCAUUCUUCAGUGUCCUCGGAGCUAGCUCUUCGGUGUGCUUCAAGCCUUUAGCAUCAGAAUCGCUGGGCACUUGGUAAAAAUGCAGAUUUCUGGGAUCUCUCUCGAACCUUGUGAAGGAGAAUCUCCGAGGCUGAACCCAGGAAUCUGCAUUUUAACACUUCACUACAGGCAAUCUUUGGCCCCCUUGGAGGUGUGAAACCUUGGUCCAGCGCUGGUGACCUUUCGAUGGUGGGGGAGGGGUGGUGAAGAAAGGAGGUGAACCCCGUCAUCCAAGUAGCAGGGGAUCACCAAAACUGCCGAAGUCUGGAAAGGAUGUCCUGUCGCCUGUCUGCUGUGCACCCGUCUUCAGGCCCCUACCCUGGCACUCCUGCCUCUCAAACCGGAAGGAAGGGUUUGGGAGCAGGAAUUCGAGAGGCCUGGGGCCAAAGUUUCGCCAGUGAGAGCUCUAACUUGGGUCUCUGAUUUAAAGGAUCCUGGCCACUGUGUUCCGGUUGGGGUGGGGGGGUGGGGAGGGUGACAGUGACUUACACAUCCCCUGUCCUGGCAACCCAGAAAGCUGUUUGAUGCCCUCUGCACCCCCCGCAUACACAGCUAGGGUGCUGGCGCUGCCUGGGCCCUGGGUGUGAGAGUCCGCCCUCUGGACAGGUCCAGGUGAGCUGGUUCAUUCCACACAUCCCAGAAACUGGUGAACACAAUGGGCCCUAGGACCCAGAGAACAACUCAGGCACAAAGCCUCCCCCCACUCCCAGCUGCUUCCUGCAUCUCAGGCCUUUCUGCGGCCUCUGCCUCCUCCCCCGCCCUCUUCCCCUCCAUCCUCUUCCUCCUUUUCCUAAUCUCCCACUCUCUCCCCCCUGGCCUGGAAGGGCUGGCAAAGGGAGCCCUCCUACCACUCCACUGCAGGGGUGUGUGUGGGUUUUGUGGGAUAUUAACGCGUUACCAUGUGCAAAAGAGCUUAGAGUACAGCGUGGGGGAUGGGGUGUGGGGAAGCCGCCUGGGAACCCUGGAUAUUGGGAUCGGGAGGGGCCAGGAACCGCAGGACUGAUCCUGAGGCUGGUGCUAAGGAAGAGGGAAGAUCUAGGUUGUGAGCUAGAGCCGGAAGUGAACCCAGACCUCACACUUUCCAAAUGCCACCUGCAUCUUUGCCCAGUUGCCCAGGAAACUUACCCCUCCCCAGUUUUGCACUUUGGGAUGGUGCAGGGUGAAGAAGUCUGUCUCCUAACCCUUCUUAGAAGGCCUCUGUCAGGAGCAAGCUUUGGGACUUAGAUUUCCAAACUCAAGAUUGGGUCUUGAAAACCCCUCCCCACAGGCCCCCCAACCCCAAUAUAGAAGUCCGGAGAAGACAGAAACCUCACCCAGUUGGGGUUUGGAAGUUUGUACAAUGUACUCAGAAGCUCUUGUGUGGAUUGGAGGAGGGCGCAGGCCCCUGUGUUCUGCCCAGAAUCUCCCACACCCUUGGUGGUAGAUCAUCUUAACUGGUCCCAGCCCAAGGGGUCUGUGCCCACGCGUCUGGCCAGGUGGGGAAGCCCCCAGUUUCUGAGGGUGGGAGAAGGAGCUGAGAACCAGCUACCAGGCCCAGAGACCCUCGGACUCCCAGCAUUUCCGGUAGCAGCUUAGAGCAAACUGGAAUUACAGGGGUGCUCUUGGGUCUCCCUUGUCCAAAGGAUUAUGAAUCUCCGGACAAACCCCUUUAACAGACCCUUCUAGGGGGUUUGGGCUUCAAGAGGGUGGAGCUAGCCAGAGCUUGGGGGACUGAGGCUAAUCAGUGGGAUUAUUAUUUCAUGGGCUCCUGGUUAGCAGAGCAACACCCUGGCCAGAAUUCCCAAAGACGCUUUUAUGGAGCGGUAAGUGCUUCACCAUCACUUGUUCUCUGGUGUCAGGCACCAAGCCGGCUGGCCUGUGAGAUGGGUGAAGAAUGGGGUCUCAUUCCCUCCAUCCCUUCUCUGCCUGUCUGGAGCAGUAAUCGCACCUGAUAGGAACAAGGAGGGUUUGGGAGGGUUACCAUCCAAACUGAAGGCUUUAAAUAGAAUUUUCAUUCAUUGGGCUGUCAUCUUCACCUACAUCCUCCAGUGAGGAAGCACUCCAGGAUAAUUUAACCACCCUUUCUCUUUCCUUUGUCUUCAUGGAAGAGACUUUGAUGGCCAAGUUGCCCAGUGGUCUUUGGAUGGAAGUUCCUUCCUUACCUUUGCCUUGGCAUAGAGUGGUUGACCUAGGAGCCAGGCUGCUAGGGUUCAAAUCUUGGCUUCACUGCUUACUGGCUGUGUGACCUUGGACAAGUCACUUAUCCUCCUCUGUGCCCUGGGAGGAUGAAAGAAGGCCCAGAAAGGACGAGAGUGGCUCGGACACAGAAGAUAGGGUGUGGGGGAGGAGACGCCUUUCCCAGCCUGUGCUAAAAAGGCCAGAGGCUGCGAUAGGCAGAGAUAAUUCACCCCCAACUCUCCUCCUGGUAACCGCCCCCCUGCCACAGCUUUCCCACACCCCCCCAAAUCUGCUUAGGGCCCUUGGGAAGAUGCUCUGUUAGGACUCUUCCCCAAGGCUUGCUAGUUUUAAACACCAGGUGUAACUGCAAAGAUAGUGAUGAAGGCAGGGAGAGGCCUGACGAGCGAUAAGUCCCGAGCCCUCAGCGCCCUGGGCGCAGGCCCGGGCUGGGUGCCAAGGCUGGCUUCUCUUUCCAGCCCUGGGGCCUUGAGACUCAGCUUCUAAAAGCGGUUUUUCCUUGGCCACGGUCAUCUAAGCAGAGGCUGGCCCAGACCCUGCACUUGGAUCCUUUUGUGGUGAGCCAGUGGUCCCCACCCAGUUGCUCUCCUUCAAGAGUUGACCUCUGCCAGGGAUUUGGGCUGGUUAUAGGAUGCUGGAAAGGUAUGCUGGAAAGGUGUGUGUACACCUCAAAUCCAGGAUGUCAGUGUUGGAGGGGCCUUUAGUGGCCCUUGGCUGACCUCUUCACAGGGAGAAUGACGAAAGCUGAGAAGUGACAUACCUAGUUUUAAAGGAAACAGACCAGGCUAGGGUUCAUGAGGCCUGAAUUGAGUCCUAGCUGCACUCAUUUGCUGGAUGACCGUGGGCUAGUCGUGUCCCCUCCCAAAGCCUGUUUCCUCAAAAAGCUUAGCUUGAGUGUCUGAGUGUUUCCUGAGCAUAGAUAACCCUAGGUGUCCCUCACUUUUGUGCAUGCAGCACAGGCCUUGAAGCCAGGCCAUCUCUGUUAGAAUCUCCAACCUCCCACUCCCCAGCUAAGGGGCUUCAACAAAUUCCUUCAUCUAUAAGAUGAAGAUAAUAUACCAACUUCAUAGAGUUUUUGUGAGGAAUAAAUGGGUCCUCAAUGCAUAAGGCACUAAAAGGGGGCUCAGAGUGUUGGCUGUUACUGAUUGCAGGGUAUCCAAGCACAUGUGGGGGUGUGUGCCUGCAUGCACAUGUGGGCAGGUGUGGCUGAGAAUGAAACUCGGUGUUUGCAUCUCUCUGUGUGUCUUCACAGGACUUUGGGGCUCUCAUUUUCUUUAAGGUUCAAUAUGUGAAAUUCUGAAAUAUAAACACCCCUUGCUUACAGCUUCUCCAAAUCUUUGGGGGUCAUUCUUGGGAUGACCUCUCUUCUCUACUUCCCAAAGGGUUUUUCACUCCUGCCUGUGGGUGCCUCAAGCCCCUCAUUGUCCCUGCAGGGAGAGGGGUCCCUUAGGGUCCUCUCACAGCUAGGAGACUGCCUUGCUGCUGGUUCCCUCUGCUGUACCCAGUUUCUUUCUAUCACUCUCCACACUUGCUCCAGUGGCUCUUGGAAAGUUCAGAUACAUCUUGGAGACUAGGGAGGGAGACUUGGUAGGAGGAG